GGGGGUGUAGCUCAGCGGGAGAGCACCUCGUUCGCAACGAGGGGGCCGCGGGUUCAAUCCCCGCCACCUCCACCA
rnacentral:tRNA from 1 species